rnacentral:rRNA from 1 species
AUUGAACGCUGGCGGCAUGCUUUACACAUGCAAGUCGAACGGUAACAGGCCGCAAGGUGCUGACGAGUGGCGAACGGGUGAGUAAUGCAUCGGAACGUGCCCAGUCGUGGGGGAUAACGCAGCGAAAGCUGCGCUAAUACCGCAUACGAUCUGUGGAUGAAAGCGGGGGACCGAAAGGCCUCGCGCCAUUGGAGCCGCCGAUGUCAGAUUAGGUAGUUGGUGGGGUAAAGGCCCACCAAGCCAACGAUCUGUAGCUGGUCUGAGAGGACGACCAGCCACACUGGGACUGAGACACGGCCCAGACUCCUACGGGAGGCAGCAGUGGGGAAUUUUGGACAAUGGGCGCAAGCCUGAUCCAGCAAUGCCGCGUGCAGGAAGAAGGCCUUCGGGUUGUAAACUGCUUUUGUACGGAACGAAACGGCUCUGGUUAAUACCUGGGGCUAAUGACGGUACCGUAAGAAUAAGCACCGGCUAACUACGUGCCAGCCGCCGCAGUAAUAC